GUAUCAGUAGUUUAGUGGUAAAAUCUGUCGUUGCUAUGCUAGCGAUGGGCCCCGCGUUCGAUUCGCGGCUGAUACG